rnacentral:tRNA from 1 species
GUGGGUAUAGCUCAGUGGCAGAGCACAUGCUUAGCAUGCUUGAGGUCCUGAGUUCAAUCCCCAGUACCUCCA